AUGGCCAGUUUCCAGAUUACACCAUUCGCUGGACUCUUGGAGAACACCGAGUUUAACUUCCAUAGCUUGUACUUGCACAACAUUUCUUCUGGACCAAACCCAACCAGAGGAGCCAUAAUAAACGACAACGCUAUCAAUGGGUGGGGCCAGCCAUUCGUUGUCGACUGGACAAUAUAUGAUGGCACUGGCCAUGGCGCGAAGCUAGUCGGUCGUGCCCAAGGCCAGCAAAUCUAUGCUAGUAAAUGGAGUCAUUCCGUCACCCUUGAGUUCACGAAUGGAAGGUUUAAGGGCUCCACGCUCCAGUUAAUGGGACUCUCAGCAACGUUUGAGCAACCAAGUGAGUGGUCUAUCACUGGCGGGACAGGUGAUCUUGCGAUGGCGCGUGGUAUAGUCAAGGUGAAAUUCCAUGAAAUGGUAGAGGAUGGUGACACGUGGGAGCUUAGCUUCCAUGGAUUUUGCAGCAUGCAGAGCUUGCCCACUCUCACAAAGGCUGGCCCAUGGGGUGGACAUGGUGGUUCAGGUACGGACUCAGAACAGCCAUGGCGCAUAGAAAGUAUGACCAUCGUCCAUGAGGGGACAAUUGCCAAGUAUUCAUGCACUUACGUUGACCUGUCCGGAAAGAGGCGCACCACGGGUUCUUGGGGUGGUGGUAAUGGUAUCCCCACAAAGGUCCAGCUGGGGCCUCGGGAGAUUUUGAAAGCCGUGUCUGGAACACAUGUCUGCCUUAACAAUGGACAGACUGUUAUUGAGUCACUGAAGUUUGUCACGAACGAAGGAACAUACGGACCAUUUGGACAUACAACCGGCACGCCCUUCAAAGCUAAUGUGCCGGAAGACCAAAGCAUCGUUGGCUUCUUUGGCCGUGCAGACGAUAUGCAACUCAUCGCGUUUGGUAUUUACACGGUUUGA
rnacentral:rRNA from 1 species